UACGUAGGUGACAAGCGUUGUCCGGAUUUACUGGGCGUAAAGAGCGCGCAGGCGGUCGUUCAAGUCGAGUGUGAAAGCCCCCGGCUCAACUGGGGAGGGUCACUCGAUACUGAUCGACUUGAAGGCAGGAGAGGGAAGCGGAAUUCCCGGUGUAGUGGUGAAAUGCGUAGAUAUCGGGAGGAACACCAGUGGCGAAGGCGGCUUCCUGGCCUGUUCUUGACGCUGAGGCGGCGAAA
rnacentral:rRNA from 1 species